AUUGAACGCUGGCGGCAUGCUUUACACAUGCAAGUCGAACGGUAACAGGCCUUCGGGUGCUGACGAGUGGCGAACGGGUGAGUAAUGCAUCGGAACGUGCCCAGAGGUGGGGGAUAACGCAGCGAAAGCUGUGCUAAUACCGCAUGUGAUCUGAGGAUGAAAGCGGGGGACCAGGCAGCAAUGUUUGGCCUCGCGCCUUUGGAGCGGCCGAUGUCAGAUUAGGUAGUUGGUGGGGUAAAGGCCUACCAAGCCGACGAUCUGUAGCUGGUCUGAGAGGACGACCAGCCACACUGGGACUGAGACACGGCCCAGACUCCUACGGGAGGCAGCAGUGGGGAAUUUUGGACAAUGGGCGCAAGCCUGAUCCAGCAAUGCCGCGUGCGGGAAGAAGGCCUUCGGGUUGUAAACCGCUUUUGUACGGAACGAAAAGGCUCUGGCUAAUACCUGGGGCUGAUGACGGUACCGUAAGAAGAAGCACCGGCUAACUACGUG
rnacentral:rRNA from 1 species